AUUGAACGCUGGCGGCAGGCCUAACACAUGCAAGUCGAACGAGUGGCGGACGGGUGAGUAAUGUCUGGGAAACUGCGUGAUGGAGGGGGAUAACUACUGGAAACGGUAGCUAAUACCGCAUACCAUCGGAUGUGCCCAGAUGGGAUUAGCUAGUAGGUGGGGUAAAGGCUCACCAAGGCGACGAUCCCUAGCUGGUCUGAGAGGAUGACCGGCAACACUGGGACUGAGACACGGCCCAGACUCCUACGGGAGGCAGCAGUAGGGAAUCUUGCACAAUGGGCGAAAGCCUGAUUCAGCCAUGCCGCGUGUGUGAAGAAGGCUUUCGGAUUGUAAAGUACUGUCAUCGGGGAGGCGUUACCCACACAAGAAGCACCGGCUAACUCCGUGCCAGCCGCCGCGGUAAUUC
rnacentral:rRNA from 1 species